AACGAACGCUGGCGGCAUGCCUAACACAUGCAAGUCGAACGAGACCUUCGGGUCUAGUGGCGCACGGGUGCGUAACGCGUGGGAACCUGCCCUUAGGUUCGGAAUAACUCCCCGAAAGGGGUGCUAAUACCGGAUAAUGUCUUCGGACCAAAGAUUUAUCGCCUUUGGAUGGGCCCGCGUUGGAUUAGCUAGUUGGUAGGGUAAAAGCCUACCAAGGCGACGAUCCAUAGCUGGUUUGAGAGGAUGAUCAGCCACACUGGGGCUGAGACACGGCCCAGACUCCUACGGGAGGCAGCAGUGGGGAAUAUUGGACAAUGGGCGAAAGCAUGAUCCAGCAAUGCCGCGUGAGUGAUGAAGGCCUUAGGGUUGUAAAGCUCUUUUACCCGGGAUGAUAAUGACAGUACCGGGAGAAUAAGCACCGGCUAACUCCGUG
rnacentral:rRNA from 1 species